rnacentral:rRNA from 2 species
UCUGGUGUCAGCCGCCGCGGUAAAACCAGCACCUCAAGUGGUCAGGAUGAUUAUUGGGCCUAAAGCAUCCGUAGCCUGCUUUGUUAGUUUUCGGUUAAAUCCAUACGCUCAACGUAUGGGCUGCCGGGAAUACUGCAAAGCUAGGGAGUGGGAGAGGUAGACGGUACUCGGUAGGAAGGGGUAAAAUCCUUUGAUCUAUUGAUGACCACCUGUGGCGAAGGCGGUCUACCACAACACGUCCGACGGUGAGGGAUGAAAGCUGGGGGAGCAAACCGGAUUAGAUACCCGGGUAGUCCCAGCUGUAAACUAUGCAAACUCAGUGAUGCAUUGGCUUGAUGCCGAUGCAGUGCCGCAGGGAAGCCGUUAAGUUUGCCGCCUGGGAAGUACGUACGCAAGUAUGAAACUUAAAG